rnacentral:lncRNA from 1 species
ACAGAAAAUCCUUCCUGCAGCAUGGGCCAGGUUAUACCGGAUGUCUCAUACAGGCCAGUAUCUUAUUCCAUGCAUGACUUACUCAUGUUGCAAAAGCAGGCCCUUGUGAUUAUAUAACAGCUCUCAAGAGGAAGCUGCUAACAAGACCAUCUGACAUUUUUUUGCCAGCUGUUUUAGUGGAGGCGUGUUGGAUUAGACUGAGCUCCACCUUCUCUGAUGAGCAAAGCAUUUGGAAAAUGACAGAGCCUGAAGAAAAAGGAAUUUCAAAAUCUGGCUCCCCAUUUUCUCCUGAGCAGGUCUGCUCUUCUACAUGUGUGGACAAGUAGGCAAGAGUGGUCUACAAGCUCCUUCUCAGCAAGCCCGGCUGUUAGGAGUCAUGACUUCGCAUGAUGCAGUGACUCCUGCUAAGUUCCUGUCAGUGUGCCAUAGUUCAGUGAGAAGCACAGUGUCUUCAGAUGGUGCUGGACAAGCUUUUCUCCAUGAUGUGCUGUUAAAAGCAUAUAUCCAGAUAUCCAGAAAAAAAAAAAAAGUGGAAAAAAAGAAGCAGCUGACCAAUAACUUACCUAGAAAGCAUCCAGCCUGGAUCUCAGCUACGAAAAAUGAAUGGAAGUGUAUACCAGAAGAUGAAUGCAACCUUCAAAACACCCUGUUCAGCUUUGUAGAGGGCUCUGGGAGAGUGGUUCUGUGGAGUCUGGAAAUGCUUAAAAAUAGCUUUGCUUGGGACACCACACAAUCUGCUGACAUUUUGGAACUCCGGGAUAAAAACAGAACAUUUCCAACAGCAAAGGUCUCCUGAAGUUGUUGAAAGAAGAUUAGAACAGUGGUUCUUCUUGCACGUUCUUUUCUUAAGAGCCACAAUGAUCCUUUCAGUUCUGUCCUCUUCAGGACCUGGCUAUGAGAAGGUGGGAGCUGGAGGCCUUUUAGGGUUGCUUGGAGGAGAUGGGUUAUAAUCUUGGUACUGGAAGAAGUUUCUGAACCCUAGAUUUGCCAGCUCAUCUUUAAAAAUAAUUUCUGAUGAAGUUACGUGAAUCUUACAUUGUGGUUCUUGGGAAGCAAGGCACUUGGAAAAUAGGAUUUACUGUUGCGAUGGAACACCAGAGGCUGUCACACCACUAAACUGAGAAUAAACAGAGAAGAAAGCCUGCA